rnacentral:tRNA from 1 species
CCCAGUGUGGUGGAGUGGUUUGAGUGUUGGACUACAACUCUAGAGACCAGGGUUCAAUCCCCAGCUCAGCCA